UGCGUAGGCGGUUCGUUAAGUCUGACGUGAAAUCCCCGGGCUCAACCUGGGACGUGCGUUGGAAACUGGCGAUCUAGAGUACGGUAGAGGGUGGUGGAAUUCCCGGUGUAGCAGUGAAAUGCGUAGAGAUCGGGAGGAACACUCGUGGCGAAGGCGGCCACCUGGACAAAGACUGACGCUCAGGUGCGAAAGCGUGGGGAGCAAACAGGAUUAGAUACCCCUGUA
rnacentral:rRNA from 1 species